rnacentral:rRNA from 1 species
GGGAGGCAGCAGUGGGGAAUAUUGGACAAUGGGCGCAAGCCUGAUCCAGCCAUGCCGCGUGCAGGAAGACGCAUCUAUGGUGUGUAAACUGCUUUUGUACAGGAAGAAACAUCCCGACGUGUCGGGACUUGACGGUACUGUAAGAAUAAGGAUCGGCUAACUCCGUGCCAGCAGCCGCGGUAAUACGGAGGAUCCAAGCGUCAUCCGGAAUCAUUGGGUUUAAAGGGUCCGUAGGCGGUUUGAUAAGUCAGUGGUGAAAGCCCAUCGCUCAACGAUGGAACGGCCAUUGAUACUGUCAGACUUGAAUUAUUAGGAAGUAACUAGAAUAUGUAGUGUAGCGGUGAAAUGCUUAGAUAUUACAUGGAAUACCAAUUGCGAAGGCAGGUUACUACUAAUGGAUUGACGCUGAUGGACGAAAGCGUGGGGAGCGAACAGGAUUAGAUACCCCUGUAGUCAU